UUCUAGACUUCUCACUUCUCUUUCUUUCUUUUUUUUUUAGACUAGUCUCACUCUGUUGCCCAGGCUGGAGUGCAGUGGCGCGAUCUCAGCUUACUUCAGCCUCCGCCUCCCGGUUUCAAGUGAAUUCUCCAGCCUCAACUUCACAAGUAGCUGGGAUUACAGCCACUUUUUAUCUUCUCUCCUGCAAUCCAACCCACAUAAUUUCCAUGAAGAAAGCGGAGUGGUGUCAUUUUACAACAAGAAAACUGAGUUAAGAAUAAGUCCAAUCAAUUGCUAGGUGUUGAGACUGAAAUGGAAGUCUCUUAGUACUCCACCCAAGGAUUUUCAUAUUAAACAAUUAUCUUGUCA
rnacentral:lncRNA from 1 species